GACAUGUAAAGCGAGUGGGUGGGUUUAUAAGAUUACUAAGGUGGGUGUUGAGCAAGAUGGAGAAGCAGGGCACGUGCAUUACAAACUCAUCAUGCAAAACUUCAUUCAAAUUUCAACAAAACACCCUUUCUCAGGUUUGAUUCUUGUGCUAUGGUUACAUGGUUCAACCAAACCCUAAGUGGCUCAUGGUUCAACCUACCUGAGUGGUUUAACCGACAAAGAAGUAAGAUCUUUGAAUGCAAAUGAGUUGGUGGUUCAUGUGCCCAUCUUCCCCAUCAUGACCACCGGAACCUUUGUCCAAAAUGGCCGGUUAAGCUUCACAUCUUUAUAUCGACUAAAUGCAGGUACUAUGCGUAAUUGGCUGGGAUUUCUCCUUAGCAUCAUUAGAAGUCUCGCAAGCUUAAGAUGCCUGAAGUCUGUUGAACAAUACUUUUCUUAUUAAUAUUUGAUCCCUUGUGGAUUUUAUUUUCAACAAUGGUGAUACUUUGAUAUUACACUUAACGUUGAAAUAUAUUUAUCUUUAUGCUUC